rnacentral:rRNA from 1 species
UAAUACGAGGGGGGCAAGCGUUGUUCGGAUUUAUUGGGCGUAAAGGGUGCGUAGGCGGUUUGGCAAGUCUUAUGUGAAAUCUAUGGGCUCAACCCAUAGUCUGCAUAAGAAACUGCCGGGCUUGAGUAUGGGAGAGGUGAGUGGAAUUUCCGGUGUAGCGGUGAAAUGCGUAGAUAUCGGAAGGAACACCUGUGGCGAAAGCGGCUCACUGGACCAUAACUGACGCUGAGGCACGAAAGCUAGGGGAGCAAACAGGAUUAGAUACCCUGGUAGUCCUAGCCCUAAACGAUGAUUGCUUGAUGUGGCAGGUACCCAAUCCUGCCGUGUCGAAGCUAACGCGAUAAGCAAUCCGCCUGGGGAGUACGGUCGCAAGGCUG